UGCAGCCGUGUCAAAUUCGGUGCCUGCCCCCACGGCCGGCAUCAGCCGAGAAGGUUGCCAUAGAAACACUGUGGCCCACGGGCGCUGGGCCCCGCUGCUGGGCCUCGGGGAUGCAUUUGGCUGCAGACACCA